AAAAACUAGCGCAGUCGUGCUUUUUCGAUGAAACAUUAACAUUCAUUAUCUCAUUAUCAACAUUAUUUUUUUGUUCAUCUGUGUAAUACAGUGUGAAUCUAUUAUUUGGUUUAUUUAUUAUUAUUCAAGCUGACUAAAGUAAUUAAAGACGAUAUGUCACGUUAUCGUGAAUGGGAUUUGCAAUGUAAAGUUUACGUUGGGAAUCUCGGCUCUUCGGCGUCAAAACAUGAAAUUGAAAAUGCAUUCAGUAAAUAUGGCCCAUUGAGAAAUGUAUGGGUUGCACGAAAUCCACCCGGCUUUGCAUUUGUCGAAUUUGAAGAUCGCCGUGAUGCCGAAGACGCGGUCCGUGGUCUUGAUGGAUCACGUUGUUGUGGAACGAGAAUUCGUGUAGAAAUGUCAUCCGGCCGAUCACGACGAGAUGAUCGCAAACGAGGUGGUGGCGGCGGAGGCGGUGGUGGCCGUAAUCGUUAUAGGGUCUUAGCUUCUCUCAUCUUGAAUCAUCACUUCAAUCAUACUACACAUCCACUACUACUAUCUACUACUCUAUGUCUACAAACCGUAUUAUUCGCCAUCUUCGUCUUUCUUCUUCCAAUUCGUAGUUUUUGUCGGGAUAAAAUGGGCAAAUCUCAUCUCGACUUUGGAUCGGCCAACAAUUUUAAUUUAUUGUGCGUUCGCAAGCAUUUUAUCUUCACUUGAACCACAUACACUUCCCAAGGGCCGAGCUACACAAUCGCCCGUAUAUGGUUCAUUUCUUUAUCAGAUCUGAAAGAAUCGGUCAAACAUUUUGGAAAAAUGUGACGGACAGAGUUCAGACGGAAUUUCGAAUUCAAAUGGAACAAUAUAGCACUUCGUUCGCACUGAACAUUUGUUGUUGUUGUUGUUCUGAUAUGUUUAUGCAGAGCAAUUCAAUUUAAUCUACCCACUGACUGUGGAUCAAUCUUCAACAUUUUAUGGAGUUUUCACCAAAUUUUCGACACUUCAAUAAAUUCCUGAAAGUAAAAUCAAAUUUCCAUCAUCGCUUAAGAGCUCCAAUUUGGACCAGUCGAUUAUUUUUCAACCAUCGUUUUGUAUUACGACCAUUUUUGUGUUUCGGAACAUUCCCAGCUCACGAAUUUAAUGUUAGCCUUCAUUAAUGUAAAAAUGUGAUUCCUCACGAAUGAUGGUUCACGAUAGCCAUUGCACGAUAGCGAACGCACACGCACGCGCACACACACACGUUUGAUCACUUUUCAAACCACCGUCUGACACGUAUGUGGGAAUAGAUGAAGUUGGUAUAGAAUAAGAAGAAGAAAGCCCUUUCCUAUUCUCAACAAUAAAAUGCUUCCUGAAACGAAAAAAAAAAAACUCCAAUAGAACAAAACAAAAAAAUUUACCGAACCUGAGUUUAGAAAACCCAAAACAAAACAAAAUAUGGCACUGUUAAAAACACAAAACAAAUGAUAUGAUGUUUGUUGCUACUAAAUUCAUCCGCUGUGCUUCGACUGCCACAACGAGAUCAAACCAAAUAAAAAAAUCCACAAAACAACCAACAUCAAAAACUGCACGCCUUCAUAUCUAAAAAAUAUAUAAAAAAAAACUAUAACCCCGAUCGCCAACGAAAACAAGUCAACCCAUCAUACACAGUGGCGUGAUUCUUCUCUUCCAUCAAAGCUUCUUCGCUUCCAUCAAGCAGAAAACAAAAUGCAACAUUUUUCAGCCCUGCCGCUAAAUAUCAAUUAAAAAACCAAAAACCGAACACAUUUUUAUGACAAAUUAACUCAACAUUUUCGGCGUCACAAUGACCAGCAAACAUCGCCUGCGCCAGAUUCCGCUAAAGUGCUUUCACUCAACAUAAACCAAAAAAAAAAAUUUAUGACACAACCACAUCGAACUAACCAACAUACACAAACACACACACAACCCACACACAAACUACGCGCAUAUUGAAUUUAAAAUCAAAUAAUCGAUAAAUAAACAGCCAACCAAUCUGAAUCUGCACGCACGCUUCACGUAUUUAAUAUCGUAGGCACUUAAAUCAGUCAAAAAUCAGCAGCGCUCGAAUUUCCAAAACCAAAAAAUCCGGUCACACCUAUUAAAUGGUACUCCCAAAAAAAAAUCGAAAUGCCAAUCUGCUCAGCUUCACACAAUACACACACACAUAUAUAACCCAAUUUAAAUUUUGAAAGAAAAAGACACACAAUACGAAUACCCGUUUAGAGUAGGAUAGACAUCUCAACCGUCUUGUAACUACUACUACCUCUGCUCAACAGCGAAUAGAGUUGCCUCAAAAUCACAAACCAAUCAAAAGAACUAGUUUAAAAAAAACUUAAAAUCCAAAUAUAACCAAAAAAAAUCGACACUCCACACCGACCACCACAUCGAUCAACCACGUCAUCGUUUAGUGAUCACGUUCACCCCGGCGCACCCGAUCACGCUCUCGUAGCUUGUCACGUGAUAGACGCAGUCGAUCCGACUCACGUGAUCGCUAUUAGAAAACAGACACAUAAAAACUCGAUCAAAUUUGCACUUGGUUUUUGCUAAUUACAAAGAAAGAACACAAACACUUCGGUUUUAACUCAACUUUUAUUUUUUUUAACGGAGCGAUAAAAUAGAAAGGUGGAAAGAGACAAAAACAGAGUUACAAAAUUAUAUCGACAUACAUUUUCCAUGUCAUUUUAUUCAGUUGUUCAUAUUUAAUUUCCUUAUUACAUCUUCUUUUUUUUUCACUUGUAGAAUUACGCAGAAUUCAAAAAUAACAUUUAAAUUUAGUUAACCAGA